rnacentral:lncRNA from 1 species
AUAUCAGAAGUUAGUUAUUGAUUCUUGUUGUGACGUGUACUUAAUUUUAGCAGUGGGUUACGGUCGCGAGAAACAUGAUGAUGAAAAUAUAAAAGACAAGAAACAAAGGGUCAUCAAGAAGAUGAAGAGAAUCCAAAGGGACACCGGACACCAAAUUGUUGAUGAACUAAGUAAGUGUUUCAUAACAUUGUCUUUUUUAGCAUUUUUAAGUUUUUUUUUUUUUUUUUUUUCGUCUCUCUUUAAAUACUAGUAUAUAUCAUGUAAAGUUUGGUCAUGGUUUGUAAUUUAUUUUCCUUUUAGCUAUAUCAAAAUCAGGCAAGAUUGUGCGGAAGCAGGAUGGCAGAUGCAGAGAG